CGCGUAGGCGGCUUAUUCAGUCAGGGGUGAAAGGCCCGGGCUCAACCCGGGAACUGCCCUUGAAACAGAUAGGCUAGAGUCCGAGAGAGGAUGGCGGAAUUCCCAGUGUAGAGGUGAAAUUCGUAGAUAUUGGGAAGAACACCAGUGGCGAAGGCGGCCAUCUGGCUCGGCACUGACGCUGAGGCGCGAAAGCGUGGGGAGCAAACA
rnacentral:rRNA from 1 species